rnacentral:rRNA from 1 species
UACGUAGGGUGCAGGCGUUAAUCGGAAUUACUGGGCGUAAAGCGUGCGCAGGCGGUUUUGUAAGCCAGAUGUGAAAGCCCCGGGCUUAACCUGGGAAUGGCAUUUGGGACUGCAAGGCUUGAGUGCGGCAGAGGAGACUGGAAUUCCUGGUGUAGCAGUGAAAUGCGUAGAUAUGCGGAGGAACACCGAUGGCGAAGGCAAUCCCCUGGACCUGUACUGACGCUCAUGCACGAAAGCGUGGGGAGCAAACAGG